rnacentral:rRNA from 1 species
UGAGGAAUAUUGGUCAAUGGGCGCAAGCCUGAACCAGCCAUCCCGCGUGCAGGAAGACGGCGCUAUGCGUUGUAAACUGCUUUUCCAGGGAGAGAAACUUGCGCACGUGUUGCGCAAUUGACGGUACCCUGGGAAUAAGCAUCGGCUAACUCCGUGCCAGCAGCCGCGGUAAUACGGAGGAUGCGAGCGUUAUCCGGAUUCAUUGGGUUUAAAGGGUGCGUAGGCGGUUUUUUAAGUCAGUGGUGAAAUCCUGCGGCUCAACCGUAGAACUGCCAUUGAAACUGAAGAACUUGAAUAUAGUUGAGGUAGGCGGAAUGUGCAGUGUAGCGGUGAAAUGCUUAGAUAUUGCACAGAACACCGAUUGCGAAGGCAGCUUACCAAGCUAUUAUUGACGCUGAGGCACGAAAGCGUGGGGAUCGAACAGG